rnacentral:tRNA from 1 species
GCGAACGUAGCCAAGAGGUAAGGUAGUGGGUUGUGAUUCCAUGAUUCGCGGGUUCGAAUCCCGUCGUUCGCC